rnacentral:rRNA from 1 species
AUACGUAGGUGGCAAGCGUUGUCCGGAUUUACUGGGUGUAAAGGGUGCGUAGGCGGUUUGCUAAGCGGGAGGUGAAAUGCCGGCGCUCAACGUCGGAAGUGCCUCCCGAACUGGUGGACUGGAAUGACUCUGCCGUGGGAGGAAUGUGUAGUGUAGCGGUGAAAUGCUUAGAGAUUACACAGAACACCGAUUGCGAAGGCAUCUCACGAAGGGUUGAUUGACGCUGAGGCACGAAAGCGUGGGGAUCAAACAGGAUUAGAUACCCUGGUAGUCCACGCAGUAAACGAUGAUGGCUAACCGCUGGGCUUAUCAGUUCAGUGGCCAAGCGAAAGCGAUAAGCCAUCCACCUGGGGAGUACGACCGCAAGGUUGAAACUCAAAUGAAUUGACGGGG